UACAGACGGGAGCAAAACGUCCGCGGGAGUGGGAGCGGCAUGGACUGAGUGGCAAGACGGGACCGAGAUUAAAAAUAAAAAGGUGAGGCUGGCUCCGUACUGUACAGUGUACCAGGCGGAGCUAGCCGCACUGAGGGACGCAGUGACAUAUCUGACCAAGGGAAGGCGGAAUGCGGCUGUGCUCAGCGACUCUCGCUCUUCACUGGAUGCCAUCGCGGGUGGACGCUCUCUCGAUCCCCAAGUUGCCGAGAUUCGCCAGAACCUGGAAGAGUGCCAUGAAAAUGGCAUUAAAAUUGAACUCUUUUGGGUGAAGGCGCACGUUGGCACUACGGGAAACGAGAGGGCAGACGCUCUCGCGGGGGAGGCGGUUGGGGAAACAGGGACGCGAAUAGGGUACGAUGCGUAUCCGCUUUCCUAUUUGCGACGACUGACAAGACUCAAGACUUCAGACACCUGGGGGUCUAGCCAUAUUGGUGUCGAAAAGUAUUCUACAUACACUACCGCUUUUGCGUAAUUGUACUGUCGAAAACGCUUCGUUCGUAGCCAAGAGGCAUGUCGAUACAUUACCGCAAAGUCGACAACGUAGAUGCGAGCUGCUGUUCGUAGCACCUUAUUCCGUCAUAUUGUCUCUGGAUUAAAUGUAUUCCUAAUGUCACUUUUAUAAACAAAUAAAAGUUAAAACUUUACAAUAUUAUUGUAAAUUUGCAAUUGGAAGCUGCAAAAGGGACAUUAGAAUGUCAGCAAGGUUGGAAGUGGAACAAUUUUCGAUUUAAGUGGAAUUUACGGAAGGUGCAAAGAUUUGAGUUUUGACCUCACAACUAAUCUGCAAAAUGAAGAAGCAACAUAUUUUGUUACCGCUUAGAAGAAACAAUAGAAAUAGUACUGUGGAUUGAUAAAUAAAGAGUGAAAAUAAGGUUGACUAGAAGUUGAUAAAGUCCAAGGAAUUUAAAAACAAUAGAAACGUAGACUAGUGUGAACACUGAAAUUAGAGUUUGAUUUAAGCUUUAAUUAGGUUUGGUGUUUGUGCUUGAACAUUUUUAAUGUCAAUUUGAAAGCAGAUUUUUAUAAAAGUGUAGAUUUUAUUAGUGAUUUGGAGUGAUAGUGAGUUGGAAUUAUCUCUGUUUAUGUCUAUCAAACAAUUUCAGUUUAAGUUAGAGCCAUAAAGGUUGAUUGUUUAUAAUAUAUUUAUAAAAAAAGAGGGAUUAAUUAAAAUUAUAAAAUAGAAACUUAGUCUUAAAUUAUAACCCUUAAUCAACCUUUGACUCCAUAUUGAUGCUCCAACAUCUUAGAUAUAAAUUUAAGUUUGAUGCUUAUUUUAAGUUAAUAUUGAUGUCAAUUAACUUUUGGUUAUAUCAGUGAUUUGCUACUAGUGAAUAUGUAAAUGCAAAAUCUGUUUAAGUAAGAAAUGAAUAAACAUUGUAUGUUAUGUAUUUGUCAGUUUUAUUUUUGGUAAUUUACCUAUGUCUUCUUUAGUAGGAAAAGCCAUUAAAGUGGUUCACAAUAUUAGUUUAUUUUACAAGAAUAUACAGAUAAUGCAUAUAU